rnacentral:rRNA from 1 species
GACGAACGCUGGCGGCGUGCUUAACACAUGCCAGUCGAACGGAAAGGCCCUGCUUUUGUGGGGUGCUCGAGUGGCGAACGGGUGAGUAACACGUGAGUAACCUGCCCUUGACUUUGGGAUAACUUCAGGAAACUGGGGCUAAUACCGGAUAGGAGCUCCUGCUGCAUGGUGGGGGUUGGAAAGUUUCGGCGGUUGGGGAUGGACUCGCGGCUUAUCAGCUUGUUGGUGGGGUAGUGGCUUACCAAGGCUUUGACGGGUAGCCGGCCUGAGAGGGUGACCGGCCACAUUGGGACUGAGAUACGGCCCAGACUCCUACGGGAGGCAGCAGUGGGGAAUAUUGCACAAUGGGCGGAAGCCUGAUGCAGCAACGCCGCGUGCGGGAUGACGGCCUUCGGGUUGUAAACCGCUUUCGCCUGGGACGAAGCGUGAGUGACGGUAAUUGGUAAAGAAGCACCGGCUAACUACGUG